GCAUUGGUGGUUCAGCGGUAGAAUUCUCGCCUUGCGUGCAGGGGACCUGGGUUUGCUCCCCGGCCAGUGUA
rnacentral:tRNA from 1 species